rnacentral:other from 1 species
AGAUCUCUGCCGCGUACGAUAUCUUCACAUUAAUUCAACCGACAAAUCAGACACGGGAAAUUGUGUCUAGCUCCCUAUAACAAGCCUCCACUGCGUGGAAGUUAGAAGUAGUUAGCAGAUUACCCACCUUAAUUUUAGGGCGGGUCUGAAUUAAAUGGAGACCGGCUAGGCGGAGACUCA